GAUGAACGCUGGCGGCGUGCCUAAUACAUGCAAGUCGAGCGAACAGAUGAGGAGCUUGCUCCUCUGACGUUAGCGGCGGACGGGUGAGUAACACGUGGAUAACCUACCUAUAAGACUGGGAUAACUUCGGGAAACCGGAGCUAAUACCGGAUAAUAUAUUGAACCGCAUGGUUCAAUAGUGAAAGACGGUUUUGCUGUCACUUAUAGAUGGAUCCGCGCCGCAUUAGCUAGUUGGUAAGGUAACGGCUUACCAAGGCGACGAUGCGUAGCCGACCUGAGAGGGUGAUCGGCCACACUGGAACUGAGACACGGUCCAGACUCCUACGGGAGGCAGCAGUAGGGAAUCUUCCGCAAAGGGCGAAAGCCUGACGGAGCAACGCCGCGUGAGUGAUGAAGGUCUUCGGAUCGUAAAACUCUGUUAUUAGGGAAGAACAAAUGUGUAAGUAACUAUGCACGUCUUGACGGUACCUAAUCAGAAGGCCACGGCUAACUACGUG
rnacentral:rRNA from 1 species